UAAUACCAGCACCCCGAGUGGUCGGGACGAUUAUUGGGCCUAAAGCAUCCGUAGCCGGUUUUACAAGUCCUCCGUUAAAUCCAGCUGCUUAACAGAUGGGCUGCGGAGGAUACUAUAAGACUAGGAGGCAGGAGAGGCAAGCGGUACUCAGUGGGUAGGGGUAAAAUCCGUUGAUCCAUUGAAGACCACCAGUGGCGAAGGCGG
rnacentral:rRNA from 1 species